rnacentral:lncRNA from 1 species
UAAAAUUUAAUAAAAAAUUUAUAAUUCAAAAGUUUCUUUUAAAAAAAGAUAAACUUCAAAUAUCAUUCAUGUGAUUUCGUACUUUCUUAUUUUAAUAUCUUAUACUUUAAAGUGUAUCAAUUUAGUAGCAUGUGAUUUUAUUUUCUUUUCGUCGACUUCUCCGUUAAUAUUUCGUUAAAUUAUAUAUAAAAAAUUUUAGAUACUCCAUCUAAAUUUAUCGAAUAUUAAUUUUAAUACAUUUUAAUUUUAACUUUAUUAGUGAUUUAAUAAAAAAAUUAAUGAAGGAGGUAACAAAAAAAAUAAAAUAAAAUUAUGGGGUACUAAAUUGAUACACUUUAAACCACAUGAAACUAAAAUAAAAAAGUGCAAAACCAUAGGAUGGUAUUUAAAAUUUUUUCUAAAAAAAAAAUAAACUUUAAAUACCAUUUCUAUGGUUUCGUACUUUCCUACUUUAGUACCAUGUGGUUUAAAAUGUAUCAAGUUAGCGUCCUUUAGUUUAAUUUUUAUCUUUUCGUCAGUUUUUUCAUUAAUAUUUCAUUAAAUUAUAUAUAAAAAACUUUAGAUACCUAUUUAGAUUUAUCAAAUAUUCACUUUAGUACCCUUUAGUUUUAACUUUGUCACUGAUUUAAUAAAAUAAAAUUAGUGAAAUCAAUAAUAAAAAAAUAAAAAUAAAACCACAUGGUACAAAAUAAAUACACUUUAAACCACAGUAUACUAAAAUAAAAAAGUGUGAAACCACAUAGUGGUAUUUGAAGUUUUUCCCAAAAAAAAAAAAAAAA